CCACUCAUCGUAAUAAAGAAACUGUUCCGGAUUUCAUAAUUAUAACACCUUCAAUAUAAAAGUUUGAGUGACACGGGGCAAAACCCUAUAUACGUUGUUCCCCUCGUAAUCUGGACCACAGGGAAUACCCGGGGACGAAAUUACAGCCUCACGAAACGCUUUGUAUAUGAGCUUUGGGAUCUUCAUCGAGAACAUAUACUGGCGCGACAUUUAUAUAUAUAUACAUCACCUGUCAAUACCUAUAAAGAACAACCUGAAGGACAGGAAGGAUGUGGACGAAAAAAAGCGGCCCCAGCAUGCUACCGUAUUUUUUCUUACGGAAUAGUAUAACUCCCGAUCUGCGCAGAAGUGCAAUCAAGAGCAGAGAUCUUCGGGAGUGGUCCAUGAAGCGCUCGAGAAGUGGCGAUUUAACUAUAUAUAUAUAUAUAUAUAUCGCCCCAACGUUGGAUUCGCCGAUCGGUGAGUCCUUUCUAACCCUUUUUCUAUAUUGAAGUAGUUCAUGAUUCGAUUUCUUCUAUUCGAAAAUAUA